rnacentral:rRNA from 1 species
UACAGAGGGUGCAAGCGUUGUUCGGAAUUAUUGGGCGUAAAGGGCGCGUAGGCGGUGCGGUAAGUCUGUAGUGAAAUCUCUGGGCUCAACUCAGAGUCUGCUGCAGAAACUGCCGUGCUUGAGUGUGGGAGAGGUGAGUGGAAUUCCCGGUGUAGCGGUGAAAUGCGUUGAUAUCUACAGGAACUCCGGUGGCGAAGGCGGCACGCUGGACCUUUUCUGACGCUGAGGAGCGAAAGCGUGGGGAGCGAACAGG